UAGGGAACCUUCCACAAUGGGCGAAAGCCUGAUGGAGCAACGCCGCGUGUGUGAUGAAGGGUUUCGGCUCGUAAAACACUGUUGUAAGAGAAGAAUGACAUUGAGAGUAACUGUUCAAUGUGUGACGGUAUCUUACCAGAAAGGAACGGCUAAAUACGUGCCUG
rnacentral:rRNA from 1 species